UGGGGAAUAUUGGACAAUGGGCGAAAGCCUGAUCCAGCCAUGCCGCGUGUGUGAAGAAGGUCUUCGGAUUGUAAAGCACUUUAUGUUGGGAGGAAGGGCAGUAAGCGAAUACCUUGCUGUUUUGACGUUACCGACAGAAUAAGCACCGGCUAACUCUGUGCCAGCAGCCGCGGUAAAACAGAGGGUGGAAGCGUUAAUCGGAAUUACUGGGCGGAAAGCGCGCGUAGGUGGUUCGUUAAGUUGAAUGUGAAAGCCCCGGGCUCAACCUGGGAAAUGCAUCCAAAACUGGCGGGCUAGAGUAGGGCAGAGGGGGGUGGAAUUUCCUGUGUAGCGGUGAAAUGCGUAGAUAUAGGAAGGAACACCAGUGGCGAAGGCGACCACCUGGGCUCAUACUGACACUGAGGUGCGAAAGCGUGGGGAGCAAACAGG
rnacentral:rRNA from 1 species